rfam:Camelus ferus unplaced genomic scaffold scaffold1286, whole genome shotgun sequence.
GGGGGGAUAGCUCAGUGGUACAACACGUGCUUGGCAUGCACAAGGUCCUGGGUUCAAUCCCCAGUGCCUCCC